UUAGGAAUCUUCCACAAUGGGCGAAAGCCUGAUGGAGCGACACCGCGUGAAGGAUGAAGGCCUUAGGGUUGUAAACUUCUAAAAGAGGGACGAUAAUGACGGUACCUCUUGAGAAGCACCGGCUAACUCCGUGCCAGCAGCCGCGGUAAUACGGAGGGUGCAAGCGUUAUCCGGAAUCACUGGGCGUAAAGGGCGCGUAGGCGGUCUGUUAAGUCUGGCGUUAAAGCCUGGGGCUCAACCCCAGAUCAGCGUUGGAUACUGGCAGACUCGACGGUUGGAGAGGCGAGUGGAAUUACCAGUGUAGCGGUGGAAUGCGUAGAUACUGGUAGGAACACCCAUUGCGAAGGCAGCUCGCUGGACAACACGUGACGCUGAGGCGCGAAAGUGUGGGGAGCAAACCGG
rnacentral:rRNA from 1 species